AUCGCUUCUCGGCCUUUUGGCUAAGAUCAAAUGUAGUAUCUGUUCUUAUCAGUUUAUUUUGUCUAUACAAGGAAUAUAGGCAAUAUAUGAACCCACCUUCA
ensembl:snRNA U2 U2 spliceosomal RNA